rnacentral:misc_RNA from 1 species
CUAUAAAAUUAUUCGUUAGCCGUAAAUAGUUGAACAAAAUUUGGAGUUUUAUGUAACCACACACUGCUCUGGUCAUCCACAGAAUCUCAAUUGCACUUGGAGCCAUCGGUGGGCGGCGAGCCAUGUAAGACUAGGAGCCGGAGACCACAGCCACCAGAAUGUCCAGAUAGCAGCCCCAGGAUCCCCGUCUCGAUCUCAACCAGGCGCAGCAAUCAGCAUACAUUCAAAAGUCCAGAAAAGUGAAGGAAUUCGAAUAGAAAUUUCUGGUUACCAAACAUGGCACACUACAGUGGUCAUCGCCAGCCGGCGGAGGUGCCGGCCCAUUUCAAGGAUCUCUUCACCAAUGGCCAGUUGGGCGCGGCUGAGGAGGGCAACAAUAACAAUGACCAGAACGAGCAGGAGAAUCGUCCCAGUAACAAUAAUAAUAAUGCUGGACCCACGGAUCCCGCCUGCUGGGUCUUCGGUUACGGAUCCUUGUGCUGGCAUCCCGGCUUCACCUACACCAAGUGCAUCACCGGCUACAUUAGGGGAUAUGUUCGCCGUUUCUGGCAGGGCAACGUCACACAUCGCGGCUGCGAAGAAAAGCCUGGACGUGUUGCAACGCUCGUUGAGGACAAAGAGGGAAUCACUUGGGGCUGCGCCUACAGAAUAACAGGCAGCACGGCACUGGACUAUCUCAAGCAGCGCGAGUGCACGCUGGGUGGCUAUGCAACGAUUGAUACCAAGUUCUUCCCGCGCGUCGCCUCGCAGGACACGCCCUUUAGCGGCGAGGCGGUUGAGGUACUGGUCUAUGUGGCCACGCCAGAGAAUAUCCAUUGGCUGGGCGAUGAUCCGGUGGAGGAGAUUGCCCAACAGAUUGUAUCCUGCCGCGGUCCCAGCGGACACAAUGCGGAGUACCUGCUGCGCCUGGCGUUGUUCAUGCACGAGGAGAUACCCGGCGUUAGGGACGAUCAUCUGUUCGAGCUGGAGCGCUUGGUUUUAGAGGAACUGUAUCGCCGCCAAAUACCUCUGUCGUCUGUGAUGGGCCGCAAUCCAGAUAGGAUACGGCGCGACUCGCACGAGGACAUCCGCCGCCCGCCAUCCUUCGAGUUCACCUCCCGUGUGCCCGAUACCAAACUGCGUUGCCUGAACAUUUGAUUGCUGGUGUGCUGGCGCGAUGGCGGCCGAAGACGGACCGCGUUGAUUGCUAGAGCAAAUUCCAAAUUAUUGAUCCGACAUGAUGUUAGCUUGUUAGGCCUAAUCAUAAGCAGCAACUCCUCGAUAAGUGAUCUGAUUUAGCCAAUAAGCUAGGAUUAAGCACAAAACACUUUUUACACGCAACUGUCAGGGAGUUAAAUUAAAACUGAAAUGAAA